CAAUAGCGUAUAUUAAAGUUGUUGCAGUUAAAAAGCUCGUAGUUGGGUUUGUGGCGUACGGUGUGUUCCGGGCACUUGUUGUCUGAGUAACCUGCUGUUGCCAUCCUUGGGUGGAACCUGUGUGGCAUUAGGUUGUCGUGCAGGGGAUGCCCAUCAUUUACUGUGAAAAAAUUAGAGUGUUCAAAGCAGGCUUAUGCCGUUGAAUAUAUUAGCAUGGAAUAAUGAGAUAGGACUUUUUUGCUAUUUUGUUGGUUUGCGCAAAGAGGUAAUGAUUAAUAGGGACAGUUGGGGGUAUUCGUAUUCCAUUGUCAGAGGUGAAAUUCUUGGAUUUUUGGAAGACGAACUACUGCGAAAGCAUUUACCAAGGAUGUUUUCAUUAA
rnacentral:rRNA from 1 species